UCGACGACUCUGGUAUUGAUUGGUGCUUGCAUCAUGAUUUACAUUUGAGUGAGUGGCGAACUGGUGAGUAACACGUGGGAAACCUGCCCAGAAGCGGGGGAUAACACCUGGAAACAGAUGCUAAUACCGCAUAACAACUUGGACCGCAUGGUCCGAGUUUGAAAGAUGGCUUCGGCUAUCACUUUUGGAUGGUCCCGCGGCGUAUUAGCUAGAUGGUGGGGUAACGGCUCACCAUGGCAAUGAUACGUAGCCGACCUGAGAGGGUAAUCGGCCACAUUGGGACUGAGACACGGCCCAAACUCCUACGGGAGGCAGCAGUAGGGAAUCUUCCACAAUGGACGAAAGUCUGAUGGAGCAACGCCGCGUGAGUGAAGAAGGGUUUCGGCUCGUAAAACUCUGUUGUUAAAGAAGAACAUAUCUGAGAGUAACUGUUCAGGUAUUGACGGUAUUUAACCAGAAAGCCACGGCUAACUACGUGCCAGCAGCCGCGGUAAUACGUAGGUGGCAAGCGUUGUCCGGAUUUAUUGGGCGUAAAGCGAGCGCAGGCGGUUUUUUAAGUCUGAUGUGAAAGCCUUCGGCUCAACCGAAGAAGUGCAUCGGAAACUGGGAAACUUGAGUGCAGAAGAGGACAGUGGAACUCCAUGUGUAGCGGUGAAAUGCGUAGAUAU
rnacentral:rRNA from 1 species